rnacentral:rRNA from 1 species
AAGGCCUUGCCCAACGGGGGGGAGACCCCCCGGAACGGUAAACCCUUUGUGAAAACCCCCUUGUUUGCCUCGGCGGCACCCUUUCGAGGGGUCAGCCCGCCGACGGCACAUUAGAAACCCUUUUUUUGAAUUGAAGAAUUAGUCUGAAUCAAUGGUCGAAUGACUAUAAAACUUUCAACAACGGAUCUCUUGGUUCCCGCAUCGAUGAAGAACGCAGCGAAACGCGAUAGUUAAUGUGAAUUGCAGAAUUCAGUGAAUCAUCGAGUCUUUGAACGCACAUUGCGCCUUUUGGUAUUCCGAGAGGCACGCCUGUCUGAGCGUCAGUAAAACCCUUCGGUUUGACGAUUUAUUGUCUCGCCGGCGUUGGCGGUUUUUGGGGGUUCGUCCCCCGAUUCCGUUUAAACACUGACACGCGGAGAUUAAGGUGUUAAAGGAUUAACCCCUCAUCGAUUAGUAGAAAUAUUUAUCUUUGAAGAUUAUGAUUUUAAAACCCCACCCGCUAUACAAAACAGGGAGCUCUUUUUUGAGCACCCGACCUUGAAUUUUGACCUCAGAUCAGACGAGGAUACCCGCUGAACUUAAGCAUAUCAAUAAGCCGGAGGAA